rnacentral:lncRNA from 1 species
UUCAGCUCAUGGUGGUAAAUGCUAUGUUGGAGAGAAUCUCAGUGUGCUCCCAUCACUGUUGGCAGCCAACAUAAGCUUCUGUGACUGUGCAAGUCAAUUUUUCUCAUGUUACCACUAGAAUUGAAAUUGAAUAUUGAUGAUGAGCAGAGGCAUGGAGCUGCAUUUUCUUCUUCUUCUUCAAAUUCCCUUCAAGAUUUUACUCAUUGAUACUCUAUU